UCAUCAGUUUCAUUUAAUCAGUUGUUGUGGUAACACACACAGUGUUUUAUAAAACCAUGAAAUUGAUAAAGAAAAAGAAAAAGAGAAAAAAACAGCGAAAAGUGUGGUGUCGUCGCCACAUUUUUCGCAAAGCUUAAUAUUUAAAAAAUAAAUAGUCAAAAUGUUGUUGUGUUAACAAAGUCCUCGGAUAGUCCUAAAAAAUUGAAAUCAUCAACACAACAUUCAUCUUCUUUAAAAUGUCCGUCCAAUCAUUAUAUUAAAGAAGAAUUUGGGGUUCAAAUUAAUUUAUGUGAAACAUCUAUAAUUAAAUUAAUUUUGGAAAAAAAAUUUUGGUUGACAUUUUGGACAAAUUUUAGGCGAAUGUACCAAAAAUAUAAGAUAAAGAAAAAGAAAAAGAGAAAAAAACAGCGAAAAGUGUGGUGUCGUCGCCACAUUUUUCGCAAAGCUUAAUAUUUAAAAAAUAAAUAGUCAAAAUGUUGUUGUGUUAACAAAGUCCUCGGAUAGUCCUAAGAAAUUGAAAUCAUCAACACAACAUUCAUCUUCUUUAAAAUGUCCGUCCAAUCAUUAUAUUAAAGAAGAAUUUGGGGUUCAAAUUAAUUUAUGUGAAACAUCUAUAAUUAAAUUAAUUUUGGAAAAAAAAUUUUGGUUGACAUUUUGGACAAAUUUUAGGCGAAUGUACCAAAAAUAUAAGCUAUUCAACAUUUUGUUUUAAUUACGUUACAUUCAUAUUAAAAAUUUAUAUUUCUCAAGCAA